rnacentral:rRNA from 1 species
AUUGAACGCUGGCGGCAUGCCUUACACAUGCAAGUCGAACGGCAGCACGGGGCAACCUGGUGGCGAGUGGCGAACGGGUGAGUAAUGCAUCGGAACGUACCUUUCAGUGGGGGAUAACGUAGCGAAAGUUACGCUAAUCCCGCAUAUUCUGUGAGCAGGAAAGCAGGGGAUCGCAAGAGCUUUCGCUGAUUGAGCGGCCGAUGUCAGAAUAGCUAGUUGGUGAGGUAAAGGCUCACAAAGGCGACGAUGUGUAGCGGGUCUGAGAGGAUGAUCCGCCACACUGGAACUGAGACACUGUCCAGACUCCUACGGGAGGCAGCAGUGUGGAAUUUUGGACAAUGGGGGCAACACUGUUCCAGCCAUGCCGCGUGAGUGAAGAAGGCCUUCGGGUUGUAAAGCUCUUUCGGCCGGGAAGAAAUCGCACGGGCUAAUACCCUGUGUGGAUGACGGUACCGGAAUAAGAAGCACCGGCUAACUACGUGCCAGCAGCCGCAGUAACAC